AUGCCGACGCUUUCUCUCGCCCGUCGUGCCGCCAUGCCGACGCUUCUUUUUCUGCUCCAGCUGCUCGCCUUUUCCCUGCUGGCCCUGCGAGCCUGCUCUCCGCGCGUGCAGCCGCCGCCCCUGGCGGUCAGCUGCCUCGGAGCUCCCGGACGCGGCUCCGCAGGGCGCAGCGGCGAGGGCUGGCUGUCCUGCCUGGGGAAUGGCACCUUGCGACUGCGGUACCGGCCAGCCCCAGGAGCGACAGCGGAGGCAGAGAGCACAGAGAGGCAGCCUGCCUCCCCGCCGCACUGCCGCUGGUACCUGAAUUGGGGUUGGGUGAAGAACACCUCCCUCUGGUCAGGGCAGUUCACGCUCCAGUCAGGCCUCUCCCUGGGAAGCGCUCUCUGGCCGGUGGCCUCCAGUCUCAUUACAGUGCAGAGCUCAUCUGCCUCAUGCGCUGCACCCGAGUGCCUUUAUCGCAACUUGAGUGUCAAGAUGUCAGCAAGGUGGGCCGCCCAGAAGAGCUCACACGCAUACCGUGAUGGCACGAGAAGUGCCACCUGCUUGUUCCAUUGCUCUGCUUUCCCCGGGGAUCCUGAGAAACACCAAGGGUUCGUGGCAAAAGUGAGCAUCACCCGAAAUGGACUGACACCGGCUCUCCCAAGCGUCAGGGAUGACACUUCAAAAGCAACAGAGCUGGCAGUGCUUCACCAGGAAGCAGCCUGCAAAUUCAACUCGGUUACAAUUCAAAAACCUUCUCUUCACACCUCUGUCAUACGUCAGAAAAAGGGGAAAACGUUUGAGCUGUAUGCCAGAGUGCUAGUGGACUGCAACCUCCACGUGUCCAUAAAGCCUCAGUGGAUAUUCUAUGCUGUUAAGGACAUGAAAACUAAUCCAGACUGGGACCAACCUUUAAAUACAUCAGCGAUGCACGGUGUCAACACAGUACAGCUAACGGUUCCCAGCUGGACCUUGGAUUAUGGAAUGUAUCAGGUCUAUUUUACUGCUUCAGUAUACAUGCUUGGGACCAAAAGAUCCUUCAAUAACACAGACAGGGUUUUCAUCAAGAUAGAGAGAAGUGAUCUUGUGGCAAGUAUUGCAGGAGGCAACUUCCGGACAGUGGGCUUUUUUGAUAAUUGGACUCUCGAUGGCUCCGUGUCCUACGACCCCGAUUCACCGGAACGACUAAAGGGACUCACGUUUACUUGGUACUGCACUAAGAAGCUAUUGGACUAUGAAAGCAUGAGAAUCAGUGCGGGAAAUAAAUGUCAUCCAGCCCAGAGGGAUUUGAGGUGGCUGACAUCUUCAGGGGCUGUUCAAGUGCUAGCACCGGAAUCGCUCCCGGGAAACACUGUCUACCACUUCCGUUUAGUCAUUCAAAAGGAUAGAAGACAGAGUUAUGCCGACCAAAGCGUAAACGUGCAGUCUGGCUUCUCACCUCUCCUGGAUGUGGCGUGCCUUGAAAACUGUGGCAGCGCUGUAAUUCCGACAGAGAGGUUUACGUUGUCAGGCAGAUGCCUCAACUGUCAAACAAGCAGCCAGAUAGUCUACCACUGGUCGCUUUGGAUGGAAAAUUCUACAGAAAUUAGCUUUGAUUGGUCUUCCAGGACCUCAACAGCUUCUGUCCUAAACUACACUGAAGCCGCACCAACACUCCCGAUACCCAAGGCUCAGUUGAGGGAAAGCCUGCUUAAGGCAGCCCUGAAUAUUUCGGUUGAGAGCACGAUGGAUGGAUGCCUGGUGGACACGUGCAGACUUGGUUCCCUGACCAACUGGCAACGGGUACACUGUGUCUGCAGCAUGAAGCAGAGUCACAGGAGCCGGUCAGUCCUCACUGCCUCAAAUACAUCCACAUUUGACAUCAAGUUCCUGGCAGCCAAAGUCAUUGUGACCCCCAACAGAGUAGAUCUCAAAGGAAACCUAAUAGCGGACAUCCCUAAGAACCCCGUGACCCUUCUAACAGUGCUCUUCAUUUUUUCAGCCUACUUUCUUUUGUCUCUCUGGGCCGUGCGGAAAGACAGGGCUGAGAUGGUCAGCAAAGACAAAAUUAUAGUUCUGCCCGACAACGACCCCUUUGAUAAAGUCAGCUUUUUGGUCACUUUGUACACCGGCAGUCGCUGGGGAGCUGGAACCAGCGCAGAUGUUUUUCUUCAGCUCAUCGGCCAGAACGGCACAAGUGAUGUCCACUGCUUGCGGCAUCCACAGUUUCCUGCUUUCCGUCGAGGAAGCACUGACUGUUUUCUCUUGACUACGAAGGAAGACCUGGGAGACAUCUGCGCCUUCAGGGUCUGGCACAACAACAGAGGCCCAUCGCCAGGCUGGUUCUUAAGCAGAGCCAAAGUUGAACACGUGUCCGCUCGGAAGACCUGGUUCUUUAUGUGCAGGAAAUGGCUUGCCCUUGACAAGGGAGAUGGCUUACUAGAAAGGACAUUUUCCGUCACCAACCCAAAAGCACCUCUAUCCAGAAAGGAUUAUUUUUUGAUUGAUCUGGCCAGAGGUCUGAAAGAGGGCCAUCUAUGGCUCUCUGUUUUUGCUCAGGUUCUCACUGGCACUUAUAGCAGGCUCCAAAGGUUAUCUUCCUGUCUAACAACAUUAUUAUUAAAGCUGUUUGUUAACAUUAUGUUCUUUAAUGCUGACAGGGAUGAAGAAUCUCCAAGACACCUGAGGUACUUGAGAUCAAUUGCCAUAGGCAUUGAAUAUACUUUGAUUGCAGUACCUGUGGAAAUGAUUAUAAUGGCCUUAUUUAAGUAUUCCCAGAAGAACCCAGAGAGAAGUCUAACUCUGCUUCCUGGGAAUCUUAAAACCUGGAGAGUACAUUCGCAAAAAAGGAAACGUUCAGAAACGUCAGCACAAUCUGGUAGCAUUAGUUCCCCGGAGAACGUUCCUGCUCACAGCGAUUCUCAGGGCCCGACACAUAACUUGAAGAGAAGAACUGAGGGAAAGACAAGAAGCCAGGGAGCUCCCCAGGACAGCAGUAACUGCCAAGUUUCUGAAGGAGGUGCAAGUACCGCCGGAGACAAGGAGCAAACAGGAAAGAAUUCCCGUCCAAAGGUUAAGGCCAGGCGGAGAAGACUACCGUCAAAUUCCAAUUUCAGCAAUAACUGUGCAAAGGAAGCAGGUAACUUGCAGGAAGAAAGCAAGCUACUCAGCGUUAGCUCUGUGCCUUUUUGCAAGAGACCACCCAUAGUUUGUUGGUGGUGGUGUGUCUAUCUCUCGUGGGUGUUAGUGAUAACUGUAAGUGGGGUAUCGUCAUUUUUCAUUGUACUGUAUGGUUUGUCUUACGGCUACCAGACUUCGCUGGAGUGGCUUUUAGCGUCGGCAACUUCCUUUAUUCAAAAUGUGUUCUUUGUUUCAAUCAUAAAAAUCAGUUGUUACUCAGCUUUGAAAACAGUUCGUCCAAAAUACUGUGAAAACAUUCCAUGGUCUACCCAGGAUCUCUCUUCUGAGAUCAAAGCAGAAAAGGAAGCAAUGAAUGAAGAAGAGAUGCGGGAGAAGCACUUCAAGCUUGCCCAGAUCAGAGACACCGAGCAGUACAAGCCUUUAAAAGAUGGGGAAAUUGCAAAGAUGCUGGAAACGGCAAAAAUUAAGGCCAAGGCAUUCAUUUUCAUAAAAGAUGUUAUCGGUCACCUUGUGGUUUUAGCAGUUGUCUUAUGUUUAGCUUAUUCUACUGAGAACACUAUCAGUUUCCACUACAACCAAUUUAUUCGGAACCAGUUCUCUCCCAGACUCCCUGCUGUGGUUAAGCUGGCAGAUAUUUACACGUGGGUGAACGACACCUUCUUGCCUUUGAUCCACAACGACGUUCAGCCAACUUUUCUUACCGACAGCUCAUCCAAAAUCAUCGGUUUGCCUAGGAUGAGGCAAGUGCGGGCUAAAGGUACUGAGAAAACGUGUUUCCACCCUCACAGCUUUGUAAAUAAAUUUGUAAUCAGUAAGAGCCACUGCCUUCACAAAUACGGCAGGGACCUCGAAGAGAAAGGUGACUAUGCUGGCACGUGGACAAAAGUCGCCAACCGUUCUUUUUCCAAGGAAACCAGCAGUUACCCUGGGUUUACUUACCAACCAAACUGGGCUCCCUGGACUUACUUCUCAUAUGGAGAUCUGCACACAUAUGGACCAGGAGGAUACACGUUUUACUUCUUCCCUGAAGAAGGAAGACAUAAUUCAACAACAAGGCUGCAUUUGCUGCAGGAGAGCAACUGGUUUGAUGAAAAGACCUGGGCUGUGAUCAUCGAACUGACUACGUUCACCUCUGAUGGAGAUCUCUUUUGCAGCAUCUCAGUCAUAUUUGAACUGUCUGAUUUUGGGAUCAUAAAACCAACUUUGUCAGUACACUCAUUUGCUGUCCCCAUUUUCCAUCAGCAAACAAAAGGUCGACAAUUGUUUUUCCUAGCUGCUGUUGCCUUUCUGCUCUUGUACAUUGCAGAUGGCCUCUACAGCAUGGUCCAAGGAAAAAAAAAUACUAAAACUAUUUCCAGGACAAUCAGCUUCAUCUUAAAAUGGGCAUUCUUCCUGAUUGUUCCUUUCCAGGUUUUAAAGUUCAAGAUGGGAGCUGAUAUUGUUCAUUUUUUCUUACUUUAUCCAAACGAUUUUAUUCCUUUUCACGCAGUUUCUCAUCUAGAUCAGAAUCUAAGGAAUACUUUGGGCUUUUUGGCAUUUCUUGCAGUUUUGAAGACACUAAAGUAUUCUCAGUUGUUUUAUGAGGUGCGUCUGGCUCAAAGAUCAAUCUUGGCAGCCCUUCCUGGGAUCUCCUCAAUGGCCUCUGUGGUGGUGGUGUACUUCUCUAUCUUUAUGGCUUUUGGCUACCUUGUGUUUGGCCAGCAUGAAUGGAAUUACAAUAAUAUGAUUCACUCAGCUCAGACCGUAUUCUCUUACUGCGUGUCUGCUUUCAGAGAUACUGCAUUUUCAUCCAGCAGGCUGCUGGGUGGUUUUUUCCUCACCUCCUUCCUGCUGGUGAUGACCUGUGUUUUGAUCAACCUCUUCCAAGCUGUUAUUAUGUCUGCCUACGGAGAUAGGAAACAACUUGUCUGUGAAGAACCACCUGAUGAAGCAAGAGCGGUUGCUUUCCUCCUGCAAAGGAUGAAAAAGAUGCUGUGUUUUCCAAUCUGUAGAACGGCCAAAAGAAGUGACCCCAAUCUUUGCCACGGUGUGCCCAACGGGCAAGCUGAGAAGAGAGUUCAGUGACAUUCGGGCCUUGAGAAAAGAAAAGCAAACGGGGAAAAAUGGUUUGUCUUGUAAUAAGAGCAAAGCAAGAUACUAUUUUCCAGACCACCUCUAGUCUGUAACACUUGUGUUUCAAAUAAAUGUUUUAAAUUAUUUUCUUGUGUUUUUUUUCAUGGAUUUUGUAGGAUUUAAACUUUUGUUACUGAGAUUUUCUCAGCAGAGACAAAUUGUGCGGAGGAUAUUUUGCACCCAUUUCAGCAGCACAUGUUGCUGGGGUGCAGUCUGCUGACCCAGCUGGGAAGGUAAGCGCCCAGCUAGUUGGUUGCUCACUGCCUAUACAGCAGGAUGGGCAGGGAAUUGGAAUGGCAAAGUAAGGAAAAAACAACACGUGGGUUGCAGUCUGUGAAAGAGGAUUUCUGAACCCCUCUCUUUAUUCUCCCUGGCUCAACGCUCCCUUUGUGAGGCCUGUUUUGGUGAUAAGACUCUAUCUGAGUACUGGGAAUUUUCUAGGGGGGCGAGUGGUAGGUGUUACUGUGCCACAUUACUUGUGGUCAUGAUUGUAGAGAUAAGCAGAAGGGGGGCAAGGAGCCUUUUUUGGGGGGUGUGGCUUGAAUGAGCCGACCACUGCAGAAAGCAGCAAUGCUUGUCCAUGGUAUCAAAGGCACCACUCCCUGCUGGCUUAUCUGGAGGGCCAGGAGCAUGACCCUAACAGAGAGAAAAGAAGAAGGAAAAAAAUGAACUGAGAAGCAGGGUAUAAAAGGUCCCCACUCACGUAAGUACUGUGGAGAGGUAUUCCCCAAGAAAAGAAAGCACUCUGGUGGAGGAAUACCCUAAGAGUAAGAAACCCCUUAGGACAAAACCCACUGUGCCUUGCUUGCUGCCAACUUUCCUGGCUUUCUCCCAUUCCCAUGGUAUUUGGACAAGUUCCUGGCAUCAGUGCAAAACUAUGAGCUACGCUGGAAACUGUGGUGGUGACUUUCUCUCUUCCAUUCUCCAAAGAUUCCUCGCUUUUAUUUUUGCAAUUGCACUAGAUAGCUAUGCUGCUUAGCUUGUACAACUUGGGCAGCCUUUGCCACCACCACUGUCAUCUGAUGUAUUGGGCACUGCUUGCCUGCCCAGGUGGGUCAACACAGAUAGGGAGCAGGAACAAUCACAGACCCACAGUGAAAACAAAAGAACACGUUUCUUUUCCAUUCCUCUCUAACCAGAGCAUUCCCUAAGCAACACCCAGGCAGAGGCACACAAGCAUAGACACAGGCAACAACUGAAAUCCACUCAUUCCAGGGAGUCACCAGUCUGCUGCUCAUGCCUGUUUAUCAAGGGUUUGCACAAGUGAUGUCUACCACUGUGCCCUGCUCUUCAGUAGGCUGUGAUCUUUUCCACAUCAAGACGGAAAGGUCCAGCACAUCCCACAGGGUACUUCACAUAUAAGAAUCACCUAUAUUGUCCGUACACGAAUGUUCUGCUUGUCCAACAUUCCAAGGAUAUCCUAUCCUUCUCACCAAGCUUCCAUUUUUAACCCAUUCCUCCCAACAUGGCCCUCAUCUGCUAGCUGCCAGGCACCACCGCCUGCUGCUCCUCAUCAGAGCAGGCACUUGGGAGAAGAAAUAUCCCGAGCACUGUGCACACGCAGUGACCUUUCUGACCUGGCAGCUUGUGACAGCAAUGGGCAGUUGGCAAUAUCCAAGAUCACCUACUAGAAAGGACAUAUUCCAUCACAACCCCAAAAGCAACUCUAUCCAGAAAGGAGAAAUUUAUUGUUACUUGAGCAAAUAACAUGACAGGGGGCUGUCAGUGGUUCUACAUACUUGCUCACUUUCUCACUGGCCAUUACAGCAAAGGUUAUCUUGUUGGUUAGCAUUAUUAUUACUAAAGCUGCUCUUUAAGAUCAGGUUCUUUAAAGCAGUCAAGAGUGAACAAGAAA